rnacentral:tRNA from 1 species
GUGAUCUUAGCUUAGGUGUAGCGUUGCCCUCCGAAGGCAAAGGUCACACGUUCGAAUCGUGUCGGGUGCGCCA